rnacentral:rRNA from 1 species
UAGAGUUUGAUCCUGGCUCAGAAUCAACGCUGGCGGCGCGCUUAACACAUGCAAGUCGAACGAGAAAGCCCGCAAGGGUGAGUAAAGUGGCGUACGGGUGAGUAACACGUGGGUAAUCUACCUUUUGGUGGGGAAUAACCCUGGGAAACCGGGGCUAAUACCGCAUAAGCUCGAAAGAGGAAAGGAGCAAUUCGCCGAAAGAGGAGCCCGCGGCUGAUUAGCUAGUUGGUGAGGUAAAGGCUCACCAAGGCAGAGAUCGGUAGCCGGCCUGAGAGGGCACACGGCCACACUGGCACUGAAACACGGGCCAGACUCCUACGGGAGGCAGCAGUGGGGAAUCUUGCACAAUGGGGGAAACCCUGAUGCAGCGACGCCGCGUGAGCGAUGAAGCCCUUCGGGGUGUAAAGCUCUUUCGGCAGGGACGAUAAUGACGGUACCUGAAGAAGAAGCUGCGGCUAACUACGUGCCAGCAGCCGCGGUAAUACGUAGGCAGCGAGCGUUGUUCGGAGUUACUGGGCGUAAAGAGUGCGUAGGCGGUUUUCCAAGUUUGGUGUGAAAUCUCCCGGCUUAACUGGGAGGGUGCAUCGAAAACUGGAAGGCUAGAGUAUGGGAGAGGUAAGCGGAAUUCCUGGUGUAGCGGUGAAAUGCGUAGAUAUCAGAGGAACACCUGCGGUGUAGACGGCUUACUGGACCAUAACUGACGCUGAGGCACGAAAGCGUGGGUAGCAAACAGGAUUAGAUACCCUGGUAGUCCACGCCCUAAACGAUGCAUACUUGGUGUGGGUAGUUCAUUCUAUCC